AUUGAACGCUGGCGGCAUGCUUUACACAUGCAAGUCGAACGGUAACAGCACUUCGGUGGCUGACGAGUGGCGAACGGGUGAGUAAUACAUCGGAACGUGCCUAGUAGUGGGGGAUAACUACUCGAAAGAGUAGCUAAUACCGCAUGAGAUCUAAGGAUGAAAGCAGGGGACCUUCGGGCCUUGCGCUACUAGAGCGGCUGAUGGCAGAUUAGGUAGUUGGUGGGAUAAAAGCUUACCAAGCCGACGAUCUGUAGCUGGUCUGAGAGGACGACCAGCCACAUGGGGCCGGAGCGCGGGCCCAGACCCCCACGGGAGGCAGAGGGGGGGAUUUUUGGACAAGGGGCGGAAGCCUGACCCAGCAAGCCCGCGGGAAGGAUGAAGGCCUUCGGGUUGUAAACUGCUUUUUUAGGGAACAAAAACCCCUUUUUUAAAACGGGAGGGUCAUGACGGAACCGAAAGAAGAAGCCCCGGCAAACUACGG
rnacentral:rRNA from 1 species